rnacentral:piRNA from 1 species
UAGGCACAUAAUGUUCACUCU